CCUACGGGAGACAGCAGUGAGGAAUAUUGGUCAAUGGGCGAGAGCCUGAACCAGCCAAGUCGCGUGAAGGAUGACGGCCCUACGGGCUGUAAACUUCUUUUGUCAGGGAGCAAUUGGGUCCACGCGUGGGCUCAGCGAGAGUACCUGAAGAAAAAGCAUCGGCAAACUCCGUGCCAGCAGCCGCGGUAAUACGGAGGAGGCGAGCGUUAUCCGGAUGUAUUGGGUUUAAAGGGUGCGUAGGCGGAAUAUCAAGUCAGCGGUAAAAAUUCGGGGCUAAACCCCGUCGUGCCGUUGAAACUGAUGUUCUUGAGUGGGCGAGAAGUAUGCGGAAUGCGUGGUGUAGCGGUGAAAUGCAUAGAUAUCACGCAGAACUCCGAUUGCGAAGGCAGCAUACCGGCGCCCAACUGACGCUGAAGCACGAAAGCGUGGGUAUCGAACAGGAUUAGAUACCCGGGUAGUC
rnacentral:rRNA from 1 species